GUGCCUGCUUCAGCAGCACAUAUACUAAAACUGGAACGAUACAGAGAAGAUUAGCAUGGUCCCUGCGCAAGGAUGACAUGCAAAUUCAUGAAGCAUUCCAUACUUUU
rnacentral:snRNA from 3 species